GAGGAUGCUUCGGGCGCGGCUCCGGUCUAAGUUCUCUGGAACGAGACGUCAUAGAGGGUGAGAAUCCCGUAUGUGACCGGCGGCCUGUGCCCAUGUGAAGCUCCUUCGACGAGUCGAGUUGUUUGGGAAUGCAGCUCAAAAUGGGUGGUGUACUCCAUCUAAAGCUAAAUAUUGGCCAGAGACCGAUAGCGCACAAGUAGAGUGAUCGAAAGAUGAAAAGCACUUUGGAAAGAGAGUUAAACAGUACGUGAAAUUGUUGAAAGGGAAGCGCUUGCAAUCAGACUUGCGCGGCGUCGAUCAGCCUGGGUUCUCCCUGGUGCACUCGGCGCCGCUCAGGCCAGCAUCAGUUUCAGCGGUGGGAUAAAGGCCUAGGGAACGUGGGUCGCCUCGGCGACCGUUAUAGCCCUAGGUGCAAUGCUGCCUGCUGGGACUGAGGACCGCGCUUCGGCUAGGAUGCUGGCGUAAUGGUUGUAAGCGACCCGUCUUGAAACACGGACCAAGGAGUCUAACAUUUAUGCGAGUGUUUGGGUGUUAAACCCAUACGCGUAAUGAAAGUGAACGGAGGUGAGAACCCUUUAGGGUGCAUCAUCGACCGAUCCUGAUGUCUUCGGAUGGAUUUGAGUAAGAGCAUAACUGUUGGGACCCGAAAGAUGGUGAACUAUGCCUAGAUAGGGUGAAGCCAGAGGAAACUCUGGUGGAGGCUCGCAGCGGUUCUGACGUGCAAAUCGAUCGUCAAAUCUGGGUAUAGGGGCGAAAGACUAAUCGAACCAUGAGACCUAGCUUCUAGGUGGUUGAGAGGCCUGCGAGGCCUAGUGCUCGGCGGCAAU
rnacentral:rRNA from 1 species